GGAAGGGUGGCAGAGCGGUUGAAUGCACCGGUCUUGAAAACCGGCAUGUCCGCAAGGGCAUCGUGGGUUCGAAUCCCACCCCUUCCGCCA
rnacentral:tRNA from 1 species